rnacentral:rRNA from 1 species
GACGGAGGAUGCAAGCGGUAUCCGGAAUGAUUGGGCGUAAAGCGUUCACCGGUGGCUGUUCAAGUCUGCUGUCAAAGACCGGGGCUUAACCCUAGAAAGGCAGUGGAAACUGGACGGCUGGAGUGCAGUAUGGGUAGAGGGAAUUCCCAGUGUAGCGGUGAAAUGCGUAGAGAUUGGGAAGAACACCGGUGGCGAAAGCGCUCUGCUGGACUGCAACUGACACUGAGGGACGAAAGCUAGGGGAGCGAAAGGG